UACAGAGGUCCCGAGCGUUGUUCGGAUUCAUUGGGCGUAAAAGGUGCGUAGGCGGCGGGGCAAGUCUGAUGUGAAAUCCCGGGGCUCAACCCCGGAACUGCAUUGGAUACUGCCUUGCUUGAGUACUGGAGAGGGAACUGGAAUUUACGGUGUAGCAGUGAAAUGCGUAGAGAUCGUAAGGAAGGCCAGUGGCGAAGGCGAGUUCCUGGACAGUUACUGACGCUGAGGCACGAAGGCCAGGGGAGCAAACGGG
rnacentral:rRNA from 1 species